ACAGAUUCCAUUCUGGACAAACCAGUGAAAUGAGACAUACUUCAACAGCAUUCAACGAAGAGCAGAAGAUAUAAGACGAUGUUACCUUGGCAAGUUCCGGCAGGCCAUGCCUGAAGGUCUUCUGAAGCAAACUCCCCUCCACCUCCAAACUCAUGAAAGUAAGAAUUACAACAGCAGCAAGUGCUUAUUUUGUGCCAGGCUCUACAAUAAGCACUUUACUGGCAAGGGUGUGAUGUGUGAUGUGAAGGCACUGUUGAGCAUAUGUAUCGACCCUGUCGUCUCAGGAUGGCCGUCUGGAAACAAAAACAGGAGGAAAAGCCUUGGAUAAUCUCCAAAGAUGGCUGCUAUCCUUCCUCGUCUAUGCAUAGUGCUCUGUACACCAAAAGGCACAGCCUGUCUCCCCUCUCCCUGAAUCUGGGCUGGCUUUCACCAACAAAAUGAGAUAGAAGGAAUGAUGAUCAGUUAUAAACCUAGCCUCUGUUGUUGUUGUUGUUGUUGUUGUUGUUGUUGUUGUUGUUGUUGUUGUUUGAAACAGUAUCUCACUCAGUCACCCAGGAUGGAGUGCAGUGGGGCAAUCACAGCUCAGUGCAACCUUGCCGUUCUGGGCUCAAGUGAUCCUCCCACUUCAGCCUCCCAAGUAGCUGGGACCACAGGCAUGAGCCACCAUGCCUGGCUAAUUUUUGAAUUUUUGGAGAGAUGGGGGCGGGGGGUCUCACCAUUUUGUCCAGGCUGGUCUUGAACUCCUGGGCUCAAGCAAUCCUCCCACCUCAGCCUCCCAAAGUGCUGGGAUUAUAGGCAUGAGCCAUUGCACCAGGCCCAAAUCUAGCCUUUAGAAAAACUGGGAGCUUCUGUUACCUCCUUCUUGGAAGCCAGUCACCAUAUAAGUUCUACCAUCUUGAGACCACCAUGGUGACAGGAAGUACAAGGUAGCCAUAAAGAGGAUAUAUACAAGAUGCCCCACCAUCUCCCAGCUGGUCUCGGCCAUUGCAGGCGAGAUACUACAAUGUGAGUGAAGAACCAUCUUGGACAUUCCAGUUCCUACAGACAGUGUAAAACAGAAGAACCACCCAGCUGAGCCUUGACCAGAUUUUAGAAUUGCAAAAAAUAAUAAAUUAUU
rnacentral:lncRNA from 10 species